rnacentral:rRNA from 1 species
GAUGAACGCUGGCGGCGUGCCUAAUACAUGCAAGUCGAGCGAACGGACGAGAAGCUUGCUUCUCUGAUGUUAGCGGCGGACGGGUGAGUAACACGUGGAUAACCUACCUAUAAGACUGGGAUAACUUCGGGAAACCGGAGCUAAUACCGGAUAAUAUUUUGAACCGCAUGGUUCAAAAGUGAAAGACGGUCUUGCUGUCACUUAUAGAUGGAUCCGCGCUGCAUUAGCUAGUUGGUAAGGUAACGGCUUACCAAGGCAACGAUGCAUAGCCGACCUGAGAGGAUGAUCGGCCACACUGGAACUGAGACACGGUCCAGACUCCUACGGGAGGCAGCAGUAGGGAAUCUUCCGCAAUGGGCGAAAGCCUGACGGAGCAACGCCGCGUGAGUGAUGAAGGUCUUCGGAUCGUAAAACUCUGUUAUUAGGGAAGAACAUAUGUGUAAGUAACUGUGCACAUAUUGACGGUACCGAAUCAGAAAGCAACGGCUAACUACGUG